UGCUCUAGUAACGGCGAGUGAAGCAGCAAUAGCUCAAAUUUGAAAUCUGGCGUCUUCGGCGUCCGAGUUGUAAUUUGUAGAGGAUGCUUCUGAGUAACCACCGACCUAAGUUCCUUGGAACAGGACGUCAUAGAGGGUGAGAAUCCCGUAUGCGGUCGGAAAGGUGCUCUACACGUAGCUCCUUCGACGAGUCGAGUUGUUUGGGAAUGCAGCUCUAAAUGGGAGGUAAAUUUCUUCUAAAGCUAAAUAUUGGCCAGAGACCGAUAGCGCACAAGUAGAGUGAUCGAAAGAUGAAAAGCACUUUGGAAAGAGAGUUAAAAAGCACGUGAAAUUGUUAAAAGGGAAGGGAUUGCAACCAGACUUGCUCGCGGUGUUCCGCCGGUCUUCUGACCGGUCUACUCGCCGCGUUGCAGGCCAGCAUCGUCUGGUGCCGCUGGAUAAGACUUGAGGAAUGUAGCUCCCUCGGGAGUGUUAUAGCCUCUUGUGAUGCAGCGAGCGCCGGGCGAGGUCCGCGCUUCGGCUAGGAUGCUGGCGUAAUGGUCGUAAUCCGCCCGUCUUGAAACACGGACCAAGGAGUCUAACAUCUAUGCGAGUGUUCGGGUGUCAAACCCCUACGCGUAAUGAAAGUGAACGGAGGUGAGAACCGCAAGGUGCAUCAUCGACCGAUCCUGAUGUCUUCGGAUGGAUUUGAGUAUGAGCAUAGCUGUUGGGACCCGAAAGAUGGUGAACUAUGCCUGAAUAGGGUGAAGCCAGAGGAAACUCUGGUGGAGGCUCGCAGCGGUUCUGACGUGCAAAUCGAUCGUCAAAUUUGGGUAUAGGGGCGAAAG
rnacentral:rRNA from 1 species